AGCGAACGCUGGCGGCAGGCCUAACACAUGCAAGUCGAACGAAGUCUUCGGACUUAGUGGCGGACGGGUGAGUAACACGUGGGAACGUGCCUUUAGGUUCGGAAUAACUCAGGGAAACUUGUGCUAAUACCGAAUGUGCCCUUCGGGGGAAAGAUUUAUCGCCUUUAGAGCGGCCCGCGUCUGAUUAGCUAGUUGGUGAGGUAAAGGCUCACCAAGGCUACGAUCAGUAGCUGGUCUGAGAGGAUGACCAGCCACAUUGGGACUGAGACACGGCCCAAACUCCUACGGGAGGCAGCAGUGGGGAAUCUUGCGCAAUGGGCGAAGGCCUGACGCAGCCAUGCCGCGUGGAUGAUGAAGGUCUCAGGAUUGUAAAAUCCUUUCACCGGUGAAGAUAAUGACUGUAGCCGGAGAAGAAGCCCCGGCUAACUUCGUGCCAGCCGCCGCGGUAAAAC
rnacentral:rRNA from 1 species